CUUGUGAGUACACACAGACUCUCUGGAGCCUCCCAUGUAAAUCCUGGCAGGACGCAGCCAGCUCUGAGCUCAUUCACGUCCCUCUUACAGCAGCACCGUGCCCAUGCGGCCACAGACAGCAUUCCCCAACCUCUGCAGACAGCUGGCAGGAACCUGCUGUCACACCCGGGUGCUCUGGCUCUGAUCCUGGGCAUGGCACGUGGGACACUGGGGAUGGCAGGGCUCCUUGGAGAAGCACUUUCCAGGGAGAGGGGCUGUGCCUCUGCCAGGGUGCUGGGGAUCCACGUGCCAGCCCGGUGGGAUCUCAUCCCUUUCAUCCUAGAAAACACUUAGGGGGAAUAUCUCCCUGGUCCCGCGGUGCCUGUGGGAUGAGAGAAGUUUAUUCCCCACCGAUGUUUUAUUUAGCCGAAUCUUUCUUUUUCUUUUCUUUUCUUUUCUUUUUUUUUUUUUUUUGGCUCAGAAAUUUCUCAGGUAAUUUAAAUGUGAAGUGGCUGUGGAAUACAUUGGGCUGCAGCUCAUCACUUGAUGAGGGGCUGAUUGGGCUCCGAGAGACUCUGCCAGCAGGGAGGGAGGUGGAAGAGCCGGGAAGUUUGGGAAUGAUGCCGGGUGUCACCAGUCCAGUCCUUUGAGAAUGGAGCAGGUAUUUCCCUCUCCUUUGGAUCAGGAUGGGUCCAGGAGCCUAAAUCCUGCUGCUCCCUGUGCCUAGGGAGCCCCACACCUCACAUGCCACCCCCAGCUUGGGAUUUUCAUGGAAAAGAUGUAAAAAUCACACUUAAAACCUCUAAUUUUAAUAAAUUUUAUUAAUAUGGA